AGAAAUGCUAUGACAAGGAGGAGUAUAUAAUCUUCAGAAGCAAAGAGAGAAGGCGGACGGUGUAAGCCUUCAUGAAGGGAUUGUAGAAGUAGCCUUUGAGCAGCGGACCGAACGGGAAUUUCUCAAGUAGACUUCGACGUAGGCCCUACGUUACAGGGGAAUAGUAUCGAACAUUUCUAUGGUUCUGUACUUGCGUGAGAGCAGAGAAGCAGCUUCUCUGAAGACAGGUGGUAACACGGAUUUUAUAUUCGCCCUGAAC
rnacentral:ncRNA from 1 species